rnacentral:rRNA from 1 species
GAUGAACGCUGGCGGCGUGCUUAACACAUGCAAGUCGAACGGAAAGGCCGAAGCUUGCUUCGGUACUCGAGUGGCGAACGGGUGAGUAACACGUGGGUGAUCUGCCCUGUACUUCGGGAUAAGCUUGGGAAACUGGGUCUAAUACCGGAUAUGACGAUCUCUUGGAUGGGGUUGUGGAAAGCUUUUGCGGUAUGGGAUGAGCUCGCGGCCUAUCAACUUGUUGGUGGGGUAAUGGCCUACCAAGGCGUCGACGGGUAGCCGGCCUGAGAGGGUGUACGGCCACAUUGGGACUGAGAUACGGCCCAGACUCCUACGGGAGGCAGCAGUGGGGAAUAUUGCACAAUGGGCGCAAGCCUGAUGCAGCGACGCCGCGUGGGGGAUGACGGCCUUCGGGUUGUAAACUCCUUUCGCAAUCGACGAAGCCUUUUGGUGACGGUAGGUUGAGAAGAAGCACCGGCUAACUACGUG